rnacentral:rRNA from 1 species
AUACGGAGGGUGCAAGCGUUACUCGGAAUCACUGGGCGUAAAGCGCGCGCAGGCGGCUUGAUAAGUUGGAUGUGAAAGCCUACGGCUCAACCGUAGAACUGCAUCCAAAACUGUCAGGCUAGAGUCUGGGAGGGGAAGAUGGAUUUAGUUGUGUAGGGGUAAAAUCCGUAGAGAUAACUAGGAAUACCAAAAGCGAAGGCGAUCUUCUGGAACAGUACUGACGCUGAGGCGCGAAAGCGUGGGGAGCAAACAGGAUUAGAAACCCUAGUAGUCC